GACGGGGGCCCGGCACAAGCGGAGGAACACGUGGUUAAUUCGAUGAUACGCGAGGAACCUUACCUGGGCUAGAACGCAUUCGGAAUCAGGCCGAAAGGCCUGCGCCAGCGAUGGCCGCUUGCGAGGUGCUGCAUGGUUGUCGUCAGCUCGUGCCGUGAGGUGUCGGGUUAAGUCCCAUAACGAGCGCAACCCCUACUGCUAGUUGCCAGCGGGUCAUGCCGGGGACUCUAGCGGAACUGCCAGCGUAAGCUGCGAGGAAGUGGGGAUGACGUCAAAUCAGCACGGCCCUUACGUCCAGGGCUACACACGUGUUACAAUGGCCGGUACAGAGGGCAGCCACCCCGCGAGGGGGCGCGAAUCCCGAAAGCCGGUCCCAGUUCGGAUCGGAGUCUGCAACCCGACUCCGUGAAGCUGGAUUCGCUAGUAAUCGCGCAUCAGCCACGGCGCGGUGAAUACGUUCCCGGGCCUU
rnacentral:rRNA from 1 species